UGCAGUAGAACGCUGAUGUUUGGUGUUUACACUAGACUGAUGAGUUGCGAACGGGUGAGUAACGCGUAGGUAACCUGCCUCAUAGCGGGGGAUAACUAUUGGAAACGAUAGCUAAUACCGCAUAAGAGUGAUUAACACAUGUUAGUUAUUUAAAAGGAGCAAUUGCUUCACUGUGAGAUGGACCUGCGUUGUAUUAGCUAGUUGGUGAGGUAAAGGCUCACCAAGGCGACGAUACAUAGCCGACCUGAGAGGGUGAUCGGCCACACUGGGACUGAGACACGGCCCAGACUCCUACGGGAGGCAGCAGUAGGGAAUCUUCGGCAAUGGACGGAAGUCUGACCGAGCAACGCCGCGUGAGUGAAGAAGGUUUUCGGAUCGUAAAGCUCUGUUGUUAGAGAAGAACGUUGGUAGGAGUGGAAAAUCUACCAAGUGACGGUAACUAACCAGAAAGGGACGGCUAACUACGUGCCAGCAGCCGCGGUAAUACGUAGGUCCCGAGCGUUGUCCGGAUUUAUUGGGCGUAAAGCGAGCGCAGGCGGUUCUUUAAGUCUGAAGUUAAAGGCAGUGGCUUAACCAUUGUACGCUUUGGAAACUGGAGGACUUGAGUGCAGAAGGGGAGAGUGGAAUUCCAUGUGUAGCGGUGAAAUGCGUAGAUAUAUGGAGGAACACCGGUGGCGAAAGCGGCUCUCUGGUCUGUAACUGACGCUGAGGCUCGAAAGCGUGGGGAGCAAACAGGAUUAGAUACCCUGGUAGUCCACGCCGUAAACGAUGAGUGCUAGGUGUUAGGCCCUUUCCGGGGCUUAGUGCCGCAGCUAACGCAUUAAGCACUCCGCCUGGGGAGUACGACCGCAAGGUUGAAACUCAAAGGAAUUGACGGGGGCCCGCACAAGCGGU
rnacentral:rRNA from 1 species